GUGCCUGCAAUGGCCAGUAGGUCACACUAAGCUCUCUGUCCAACUGGGUAGGUAGGGUGGUGGUGACACAGAAGGUGAGAUGACAGUCUUGGCCUGACUGGACUGUUGGAUGGCCGAAGUGCUACAGCAGGCUCCACGUGUGGUUGUCUGUGGAGCUACUUCAGAACUAAAACUCCUGUUAGAAAGAUGUCCCCACUGGAUAGAAGAAAACUACAAACCUCUUACCACCCAGAUGAGUUGAUACAUUUAAAUGCUUACCAAGUUCUGCCUGCAUGCCACAGACAACUUCAGGAAAUUCUGAGUGGAGACUCUGCAAAUGCAUAUGUCCCUCGAGUUGGAAUGAGAUGGCAAUCCAGCACAGGAGAUCAAAUUCUCCAUUGCCUUCUAGAUGUGCUGGACUAACAUUUCCACCAUCUCUAACAAUCCUGGCCAUCUGUAACCUCAGGUCAUCCAAGAAUGUCGUGAUCAGCUGUCACUCAAUACCAGACCUUUUCAUCACUAGAAGAGUGACAACAUCAACACAACAUCAACAAAGAAGGUCAAGGAUUUGCAGGAAAGAGGAGAAGAGAAAGGGAAUGCUCUGAGGUCUGUGUUAACACCUCAGCAACCUAUCUCAGUUCUCACCCGCCUUUACACAUGCAAAGUCACCACUGAAGGACGGUAAAGAAUCACCCUGCAUUGCAACCCAAGACUGUAAGGCUGAACCAUAGUCCUUUAUUUUUCUCUUUUGAUAACACUCUUAAGUUUUACUGUGAGAACUAAACUAAACACAUGCUGUGAUUGCCAUUAACAUGUCACCAUGUGAACCUAUGAAUUUGUGACCACCAAUCAAUAAACUGUUUCUCUUGACCCAUG